GUAUGUGCAAUGCCUUCAAAUUCUUUAGAAUAGUGCAGUGACUGAUGGCUUCUUAAACCCAGUUGAAGGUGGGACUCAGCGACCGGAAACCGCGACCGACUCAGGGUGGGGGUGUAAGCCGCAGGAGGAAUUGCUCGACCUUUCUGCUUCCCUGGUCUUCUUCGUCGUCUGCUGCUUCUUCCGUCUUUGGUUCAGUGAUACAAAGCUCGAUCUCCCUCUUCACCGCUCACUCUUCAAGCGUGUAGGGUUUCGCCGUGUACUCUUUCAGCAAAAUCAUUUGACGAGCAAGUCUUUCAACUGAGGUCGUGGUUUCAGAUAGCUUGCGAAGGAAGAAUCGUUGUUUGGUUUGAAGGAUUUGGAGAUUGGAGCAGAAGUUCGGAUUCCUGUUUUUGCAUUUAUAUUUGGAUUUUUUCUAUGGCGGUGGACGAUCUGUCCGGCGUAAUCUGCCGCUGUUGCAGCAGCGCUUGCAGCGGCAACUCUAUAUUCCGCUCUCCUCGUCACGCUAGCUAAUCAUUAACCGUUGCAGUGCGUGUCUGGUUCGUCGGUGUGCAUCGGAGGCUGUCUUUGACUCUUCCUUGUGUGAUAAAGGCUUUAUUCCAGCCAUCUGAUGUAUGCAUACAAUCUGGACUUAUUCUGCAUGGUAGCUUGAGGGUCGUGAUGGUGGAGUUAAGGUAAGAUCGCCAGAUAAUAGUCUUCGUUUUCAUUUUCCCCCUUGGUGGUAUUAGCUAAGUUGUGCUGGGGUACGUAAGAUCGACAUUCUGUUUUCUGCGUUGCUGUGAAUAUGUUUCUGCUUCCAAGUCUGAUUUCAGUUUCUUUCCCUCCCACAUGGUUGGAAUCGCCAUCGGUGGUAGUUGGUCCUACCGACUGUUUCAAUACUCUGGGCACUGUGUGUAGGGUCUGUAAAUCCUCCAAACCCACAUCAGUAGCGCGUCACCCCCUCGGCGAUGCUUUACGUUUCCGACAGCGCCAAGAUUUGCUAUUCUGAGUGUUCACACGGCAUUGGUCCUUUGACACUGCACACACUGUGGCUGAUUUGUAAGCGUACCUACGCAGCUGAGCUCACUCUCAAACUCUUCAAAUGUGCCCUCUCUCUUCACUGUCAUGACCGCGCUUCGGGGCUGCUGCAUACCAGAUAGAUUGAAGGCCGUGGCCAACCUCUUUCCAACAAGAUUUUUCACUUUUUCCCCGUCAAAAGCUUCACCCUGCGCGGUAAGCUAGGACAGUGCGCUGUCCCUUGUGAUCUCUUUUCUGUCAAGCUUCAAUCUAUCGACGUUUACCUGUGGAUACUUGGCUCCUACCCACAUGCACCUGUGCAGUGAGGCCCAGGUAGCGGAAGUACAAAGCUAAGCCGUCGAGUCUGUCGGUUCACAUUACUAUUUGAGGUCAGCCAAUUCCCUUCCCCGCAUCGUGUUCCGUAGUCCCUGAGUUCCUCUAUUGAAACAAGCCAAACCCCAUUGGAUGUUGUCGAACCUUUUAGGACUGUGCCUGCCUCUCCUCUGCAUUGUCCAUUCUUGUAUGAGACACUUAUCUCUGCACUGUCAAAUUCUGAAUUCUUCUCAAGUUGAUCAGUUUAUGUCGACGCUCAACUUUAAUGAUGUCCAUAAUCUGUUGUUUCAAGCAGUCAACGACAGUGGUCUAGCGGGGCACGUGAAGAUGUAGAAUCGCCAGCUUCUGUGUGCCCAGGAGUUAGUGGGAUUGUACUUCAUGUCGAAGUCUUCGUUAUAUGAACUUGUAACUUCUGGCUAAUUGUCAUGUGUGGUUGUAGUGAUCGUUGCUGCAACCUGUACGAAACCGCGUAGUGACUGAUGGCUUCUUAAAUCUUCUGUGCAUUGUGGAUGCCAAUUACCGAAUAAAUGUCAGUGUUGCAACGGCAGUUUAUUGCAAUGGUGCUUUGUCUAACUUACAACUUGAUAGAGAAGACAUUGGAUGUUAGGAGGUCAAAAUAAGUUUUUAGUGAUAUGUCUUGAAACAAUUCUAGAUAUGUAAAUAUUCGAUGGUUUACUUACAUAUAUGUGAUGAUUAAUUUUAAUGGUAA